UGAAAGUAUUCCCAUCAAUGUUCACCCCUAACUUCAUGAGGUGACUCUUGUUUUUGGUCCAAAGAGGUUAAGGUUUGGCUCCUUCCCUUGCUAGGUAUCUCCCUAAGUCUCUUCAUCCAUUCUAACCUCUCUACUAUCAAGAACUCCUUUUUACCCAUCCCCACUCAUGGAAUACUUACUUUAGAACCUCUCCCAUCCAACUCCAACCCAUUGAAGACCCACGGUAUAGAGCAUGGCUAGGUCAUAUGCCCACCCAUAAGGAAAACUUAUGGAGGAAGCUAAGGGAUUCAUGACUUUCUAUUGAUCUGUGGACAAAAGAUCCAUGUACAAAAGGUGCUCCUCUAUGAUGAGGCUCAAUUCUAUGACUAAACUUUAUUAUUGGACUACGCUUCAUGGGUAUCGAAGCUAACACCACUCUGGAAACCCCUGACGUCAUCUCUUUCUCCCAUCCCAUGGUCAAGGAUAUGUUCUCUUUCUGGUUGAAAACAUAUGCAGAAAACAAAGAAACAAUAUCUAAUAAGAGCAUAUUAGGUUUCUACUUUUCUGGCUGAAUAAGUUUGUUUUCUAUGUCAGCUCUUAUAAGAGAUCACCCAGGAUUUCACCAGGCUUGUUCUUUGAUGGACCCAUUUUAUUGCAUAUUUUUUUCUCCUAUGGUGUUGGUUCUCGUCUAGCGUGCUAUGCGGCUCUUUAUUCAAUCGGGCUUUGAAAGUUUCCCUGGUUCCUUCUGGAUCAUUUAGCUCUAGCGGUGGGCGUACUUUAAGCCUUUUUGCCCUGAAUGCAAUCCUGGCUCAUCUGAACUUGACUAUUUUGUUCUCCAAUAUAAAGGUAUAUCUCCUUUGGACCAUGAGUUCAGGGAUUAUUUUUCUUACUUUUAUCAAGACUUUACCCUCAUAGAUCACUUUACCUAGUUCGCCUUCAAUCACUCUCAAUCUGUUAAUUGGCUGGGUGUAAACUCUAAGGACCUUGAAUUUGAUAAAGACUCUGAAAACACCAUCCCCUUAUGGACCAACUUUCUGUCGUCCAGGGAACUUCCUUAAUACUUCAUGAAUCCCCACACAAUAAAUGUGAGGUUGAAUUAUAAUGUCGCUCAGCUGGUCCGAUAAUUUGGUCAUGUCCAGAUGGUUCCAUUGCCCCCAUACCUUUUAGAGAACAAGCCUUUCCUGAGUAGGGCCUGUGAUCAGUUGAAGUGUUAACCAGUAUUUACUUUGUCUCUACCUCUAUUGUAUCUUCAAUCAAAUCUCCUACUUUGUUGAGUGUGAUGAAGCCACCCCGGAGUUUACUCACUAGUGAACCGAGUAUAUCAAUCAACAAUUCUUGUAGGCUUUGGAAGAGCUUCUGGCUGUGGUCACUCUUGACCUUAGAGUGGAUGCGUCUCAUGCCUUUGGUCAUUCUCAUGAUUCUUCUAAAGGUAAUGAAAGUCACAAGGCUGUCUCCAUGAUAACUCUUGCCAUUAUUCAAAAAUUUUGGAAAAGUGUAGCCAACAAGUUCUUUGCCAAGAGAUAAGGAGUUGGGCAACAACUGAGGUUCCAUUAACCAAGAAAACGAAAGCUACUCAUUCGACCACUCCUCCAAAAAGUGUUGAAGACCAGGGAUUUCUAGCAAAGUUGGCCAACAGAACUCUACUCCUAGUUCCCAUGCCUUUAAAUGCUAGUGCUUUGGGUUCUUCUAGCUCUAUUACUCUUUUCGAGGUCAAAAUUAUAGCUGCCAAGAAUUUUUUGAAAUUCUAUAUUCCCUAAUUUGAAAAUAACCAUUGAAGAAACUCUCUAAGCCUCAGACCUUGCAAAAACCAUAAUGGGAAAGCUCAUGAAUUUCUUGAAGGACCUCCCCAUCCUUAUAAAAGAUUUUAGCAACAACCAUACUCGGCUCUCAAAAAUCAAUUUUGAGGAACAAAAGAGAAAUGAGUUUGAUGCCAAACUUCAAGAGCUUAGUCAUGAAUUUCAAUAUUCUUUGAUGGCCAAGGCUGAAGAAAGAAAACCCAUUGAGGAAUUGAAGUAGAGGAUUACUAGUCUCCAAGCUGAAGUGAAAAUCCAUGAGAAAACUAUGGCUGACAUUUUGUAGAAAAAUGCUACAACCCUCAAGGAUUCUGAAGAUGUUUAUACUCAAGUGUCAAAGCUGGAUGACAGAGUUGUUACCCUUGCAAGUGAAAGAUCUUUUAUUGAAGUGCAUACUGUAGCGUCUGUUAUCAAUUCGGAUCAACUGACGGAGAUUUGUGAUGAAUUCGUGAUUCCUUCUAAAGAAACCACUCCUCCGACUACAGGUGAACCAAUAGAAGAUGCAUCCCAACUGAUGAUCCGAUUGCUACUGGGAGUACAACUCCUCUUGUUAAUCAUUGAUAAUCUUGGUUACCCUUUAAACAAUUCAUGCUUUCCCUCUGUUUGGACUAUAUGCUCUCUUUUUCUGAGGUUUCCAGUGGUGUUCUCUUGAACGACCCUAGUAACUUUCUAGAUAUUUGGUGCUGUUUUUGGGCUUUAUCAGUGGCG